GAUGAACGCUGGCGGCGUGCCUAAUACAUGCAAGUCGAGCGAACGGACGAGAAGCUUGCUUUUCUGAUGUUAUCGGCGGACGGGUGAGUAACACGUGGAUAACCUACCUAUAAGACUGGGAUAACUUCGGGAAACCGGAGCUAAUACCGGAUAAUAUUUUGAACCGCAUUGUUCAAAAGUGAAAGACGGUCUUGCUGUCACUUAUAGAUGGAUCCGCGCUGCAUUAGCUAGUUGGUAAGGUAACGGCUUACCAAGGCAACGAUGCAUAGCCGACCUGAGAGGGUGAUCGGCUACACUGGAACUGAGACACGGUCCAGACUCCUACGGGAGGAAGCAGUAGGGAAUCUUACGCAAUGGGCGAAAGCCUGACGGAGCAAAGCCGCGUGAGUGAUGAAGGUCUUAGGAUCGUAAAACUCUGUUAUUAGGGAAGAACAUAUGUGUAAGUACCUGUGCACAUCUUGACGGUACCUAAUCAGAAAGCCACGGCUAACUACGUG
rnacentral:rRNA from 1 species